rnacentral:rRNA from 1 species
CCUACGGGGGGCAGCAGUGAGGAAUAUUGGUCAAUGGACGAGAGUCUGAACCAGCCAAGUAGCGUGAGGGAUGACUGCCCUAUGGGUUGUAAACUUCUUUUAUAAAGGAAUAAAACGAGGCACGUGUGCCUUUUUGCAUGUACUUUAUGAAUAAGGAUCGGCUAACUCCGUGCCAGCAGCCGCGGUAAUACGGAGGAUCCGAGCGUUAUCCGGAUUUUUUGGGUUUAAAGGGAGCGUAGAUGGGUUGGUAAGUCAGUGGUGAAAGUUUGCGGCUCAACCGUAAAAUUGCAAUUGAUACUGGCAGUCUUGAGUACAGUUGAGGUAAGCGGAAUUCGUGGUGUAGCGGUGAAAUGCUUAGAUAUCACGAAGAACCCCGAUUGCGAAGGCAGCUUACUAAACUGUGACUGACAUUGAUGCUCGAAAGUGUGGGUAUCAAACAGGAUUAGAUACCCGAGUAGUC